rnacentral:rRNA from 1 species
UAACCUGGUUGAUCCUGCCAGUAGUCAUAUGCUUGUCUAAAAGACUAAGCCAUGCAUGUCUAAGUAUAAACAAAUCUAUACUUGUGAAACUGCGAAUGGCUCAUUAAAUCAGUUGUAAUAUCUUUGAUAGUCUCUUCCUACAUGGAUAACCGUGGGAAACUAGGGCUAAUACAUGCACAAGGCCCCGACUUUUCGGAAGGGGUGUGUUUAUUAGAUCUGAAGCCAACCCGCCUCGGCGGAAUCUGGUGAGUCAUAAUAACCUUACGAAUCGCAUGACCUAGCGUCGGCGAUGAAUCAUUCUAACAUCUGACCUAUCAAAUUUUGAUGGUAGGAUAGAGGCCUACCAUGUUUAUGACGGGUAACGGAGAAUUAGGGUUCGAUUCCGGAGAGGGAGCCUGAGAAACGGCUACCACAUCCAAGGAAGGCAGCAGGCGCGCAAAUUACCCAAUCUCGACACGAGGAGGUAGUGACAAGAAAUAACAAUGCAGGGCUCGAAGAGUCUUGUAAUUGGAAUGAGAACAAUCCAAAACCCUUAACGAGGAACAAUUGGAGGGCAAGUCUGGUGCCAGCAGCCGCGGUAAUUCCAGCUCCAAUAGCGUAUAUUAAUGCUGCUGCGGUUGAAACGCUCGUAGUUGGACUUUGGGGCGUGCGGCAGGGUCGGCCUUUGGGCUGUAUCCUGCCGCGUGUCCUUUUGCCGUGAUCCGCCUCCCAUGGUCUUCGGGCCGUGGAACCGGGGCGAUUUCGGCCGGUUACUUUGAAGAAAUUAGAGUGUUCAAAGCAGGCCAACGCCUUGAAUACAUUAGCAUGGAAUAACAGAAUAGGACUUUGGUCUUGUUGUGUUGGUUUCCGGGACUAGAGUAAUGAUUAAUAGGGAUAGUUGGGGGCAUUCAUAUUUGGCUGUCAGAGGUGAAAUUCUUGGAUUAGCUAAAGAUGAACUACUGCGAAAGCAUUUGCCAAGGAUGUUUUCAUUAAUCAAGAACGAAAGUUAGGGGAUCGAAGACGAUCAGAUACCGUCGUAGUCUUAACCAUAAACUAUGCCGACUAGAGAUUGGAGGCGCUCAUUUAUGACUCCAUCAGCGUCUUCCGAGAAAUCAAAGAUUUUGGGUUCUGGGGGGAGUAUGCACGCAAGGCUGAAACUUAAAGGAAUUGACGGAAGGGCACCACCAGGAUUGGAGCCUGCGGCUUAAUUUGACCCAACACGGGAAAACUUACCAGGUCCAGACAUAGUAAGGAUUGACAGAUUGAGAGCUCUUUCUUGAUUCUAUGCGUGGUGGUGCAUGGCCGUUCUUAGUUGGUGGAUUGAUUUGUCUGCUUAAUUGCGAUAACGAACA